ACAUACCCUUUGGUUCGGAAUAACUCAGGGAAACUUGAGCUAAUACCGGAUACGUCCGUAAGGAGAAAGAUUUAUCGCCAAAGGAUUGGCCCGCGUCCGAUUAGCUAGUUGGUGAGGUAACGGCUCACCAAGGCUACGAUCGGUAGCUGGUCUGAGAGGAUGAUCAGCCACAUUGGGACUGAGACACGGCCCAAACUCCUACGGGAGGCAGCAGUGGGGAAUAUUGGACAAUGGGCGCAAGCCUGAUCCAGCCAUGCCGCGUGAGUGAUGAAGGCCUUAGGGUUGUAAAGCUCUUUUGUCCGGGAAGAUAAUGACUGUACCGGAAGAAUAAGCCCCGGCUAACCUCGUGCCAGCAGCCGCGGUAAUACGAAGGGGGCUAGCGUUGUUCGGAAUCACUGGGCGUAAAGCGCACGUAGGCGGACCGUUAAGUCGGAGGUGAAAGCCUGGGGCUCAACCCCAGAACUGCCUUCGAUACUGGCGGUCUUGAGUAUGGUAGAGGUUGGUGGAACUCCGAGUGUAGAGGUGAAAUUCGUAGAUAUUCGGAAGAACACCAGUGGCGAAGGCGGCCAACUGGACCAUUACUGACGCUGAGGUGCGAAAGCGUGGGGAGCANNNAGGAUUAGAUACCCUGGUAGUCCACGCUGUAAACGAUGAGAGCUAGCCGUUGGGGUGCAUGCA
rnacentral:rRNA from 1 species